ACUGUCCUGAAACGGGUCAGUCGUGGCUCAGCAUCCGUUCUUGCUGCAGCCACAAGCUUUCGACCAAUGACGAAGAAUAGAAUAAAAACUGGACUGCGCACUGCCUCCAACAUUGGUUCCGCCAUGUUCAACAGGCUCUGACUUCCGGUCAGGGCAAAAAAAGCGUGGUAAAAAUUACAAACAUUGUUUUGGAAAACGAUGCGAUAAGUCAAUAUACUUGGGAUGUUUUGGAUCUAUGGAGACAUUAAUAUAACCUAAACAUUUGCAGCAUGCCGAGGAAGGUUUAAAAGAUACAGUGACACAUAUUGUAAUGAUAUAUUUUCCACAUGGUGAAAAUUUACACUUUGCAGCCGCUUGCACAGUUUUGACAGCAGACAGCGCAACAAGAAUUAACCAUAUGGACACACAAAAAAAAGCUAAACCUAACGUAUUCCAAUUAAAUUCGCUGUUAUUAUGUUUCGCAAUGUACAAUUGUAAGGAUUUCAAAAAUUGUCAACUUCCACGUGAAAUAGUACCCAAAGAAUUGUCUUGCCCUGACCGGAAAAUGAAGCCGAAUUACCACGUGAAAGGGGUUUGUGCGUCGUCCAGAUUUUAUUCUACGUCAUUGCUUUAGACUUUCAACUUUCGUGGCAGUUUCGACCAAGAUGUGAUCGCAUCCUGUCAACGGUUGUCUGAAGGGAAACCGGAGCUACAAUGUGGCCCUGCUCGAAGAGCUUUUCUUCGGGAACAUUCAGUCUCAAUUGUCAGUGGGGAGAACCCGAGCAAAAACUGCAAACGAAGCCUUGAAGUCCCUUUGAAUAUCGGGUCUGGCCGGAGCAGGAACCGAAGUCACAGGGAAAAGGGUGCCACACACGGUGAGUGAAGUGACCAGGCUUCGUCAGGCACCCCAGGAGGAGAGCCCCUCGCGGGACACCACGGGAAAGUAUUUGGUCUUCAUCCAGUAGUGAAAGUUAUACUCGCCUUACACGCGUGAGGUCCGUGUUUGAAACACGACUGUUCGACUUUUUUGUUUUUC